UCCUCGCGGUCGCAUCGAGGUCGCUAUGAUUCCAGAAGGUAUCUCACACUUGAGUCAAGCAGUGGCUUUAGUAACACCGACUCGGAUAGCUACCACGUGACCGUUCUCUAUGGAAGCAAAGAGAAUCUGCACAAGCCCGAUCAAAACGAAGAGAAACGUUUAUUAAAUGAUCUGUCCGAGUUGGGAUUCGUCACAGGAGUGGAGGCGGACGACAGGAAAUUUAAGUAUGUAGCCCGCCGCGUAUCGUUUCAUCUGUC